AAACUGAAGAGUUUGAUCCUGGCUCAGAUUGAACGCUGGCGGCAUGCUUUACACAUGCAAGUCGAACGGCAGCGCGGGGCAACCUGGCGGCGAGUGGCGAACGGGUGAGUAAUAUAUCGGAACGUACCCAAGAGUGGGGGAUAACGUAGCGAAAGUUACGCUAAUACCGCAUACGAUCUAAGGAUGAAAGCAGGGGACCGCAAGGCCUUGUGCUCCUGGAGCGGCCGAUAUCUGAUUAGCUAGUUGGUAGGGUAAAGGCCUACCAAGGCUACGAUCAGUAGCUGGUCUGAGAGGACGACCAGCCACACUGGAACUGAGACACGGUCCAGACUCCUACGGGAGGCAGCAGUGGGGAAUUUUGGACAAUGGGCGCAAGCCUGAUCCAGCAAUGCCGCGUGAGUGAAGAAGGCCUUCGGGUUGUAAAGCUCUUUUGUCAGGGAAGAAACGGUG
rnacentral:rRNA from 1 species